rnacentral:rRNA from 1 species
UACGAAGGGGGCUAGCGUUGUUCGGAAUUACUGGGCGUAAAGCGCACGUAGGCGGAUUUGUAAGUCAGGGGUGAAAUCCCGGGGCUCAACCUCGGAACUGCCUUUGAUACUGCAAGUCUCGAGUCCGAUAGAGGUGAGUGGAAUUCCUAGUGUAGAGGUGAAAUUCGUAGAUAUUAGGAAGAACACCAGUGGCGAAGGCGGACUCACUGGAUCGGUACUGACGCUGAGGUGCGAAAGCGUGGGGAGCAACAGGGAUAAGAUACCCG